UCUUNCCAUGCNAGUCGUGGNACNGNNGGNNACCAGAGAGCUUAACGCUCUCUUGGCGGCGAGUGGCGGACCGGGUGAGUAAUAUACAUCGGAACGUGCCCAGUAGCGGGGGAUAACUACUCGAAAGAGUGGCUAAUACCGCAUACGCCCUACGGGGGAAAGGGGGGGAUCGCUAGCAAGACCUCUCACUAUUGGAGCGGCCGAUAUCGGAUUAGCUAGUUGGUGGGGUAAAGGGCAGCUCACCAAGGCAACGAUCCGUAGCUGGUUUGAGAGGACGACCAGCACACACUGGGACUGAGACACGGCCCAGACUCCUACGGGAGGCAGCAGUGGGGAAUUUUGGACAAUGGGGGAAACCCUGAUCCAGCCAUCCCCCGCGUGUAUGAUGAAGGCCUUCGGGUUGUAAAGUACUUUUGGCAGAGAAGAAAAGGUAUCCCCUAAUACGGGAUACUGCUGACGGUAUCUGCAGAAUAAGCACCGGCUAACUACGUGCCAGCAGCCGCGGUAAUACGUAUAGGGUGCAAGCGUUAAUCGGGAAUUACUGGGCGUAAAGCGUGUGUAGGCGGUUUUCGGAAAGAAAGAUGUGAAAUCCCAGGGCUCAACCUUGGAACUGCAUUUUUAACUGCCGAGCUAGAGUAUGUCAGAGGGGGGUAGAAUUCCACGUGUAGCAGUGAAAUGCGUAGAUAUGUGGAGGAAUACCGAUGGCGAAGGCAGCCCC
rnacentral:rRNA from 1 species